rnacentral:rRNA from 1 species
GAAGCAGCCACCCUUUAAAGAAAGCGUAAUAGCUCACUAGUCGAGUCGGCCUGCGCGGAAGAUGUAACGGGGCUAAAACUAUGUGCCGAAGCUGCGGAUUUGACAUUAGUCAAGUGGUAGGGGAGCGUUCUGUAAGCCGAUGAAGGUGUAUUGAGAAGUAUGCUGGAGGUAUCAGAAGUGCGAAUGCUGACGUGAGUAACGACAAAACGGGUGAAAAACCCGUUCGCCGAAAGACCAAAGGGUUCCAGUCCAACGUUAAUCGGGGCUGGGUGAGUCGACCCCUAAGGCGAGGCCGAAAGGCGUAGUCGAUGGGAAAAUGGUUAAUAUUCCAUUACUUCUGUGUAAUGCGAUGAGAGGACGGAGAAGG